GUUUACCUACCUCUAUUCGAGAAUUAAGUAAACCCUGUUUUUCCAAACAAUGCAAAAGUUUACUCCUCGAUGCUCUAAGUUUCUGCGAUGACUAUGGUGAUCUUACCAUGAUUAUGCAAACAAUAUCUAAAACUGAUUAAUUCUUGUUUCUUUUCUUCUGUAUAUGAGCUAAAUUAAUUUUCACACGGUAGACACGUAUACAGCCGGCUUUGGUAAUUCUUCCAUGGCAUUCAGUUCUGCCAUGGAGCCUGAUUUCUUUCUUUUUUUUCCUUAACUGUAUGAAAUCUUAACCCCCCACCUCGAAUAGCUAUUGCUAAAUGUGGGAGGGUAAAUGGCUGUUAA